UAAGAUUGGCAACUUGAAGCGAAUUGAAACACUCGAUCUAUCAAUGAAUGCACUCUUCGGUGCAAUCCCCGAAAGCUUAUCUGAUUUGUACUCAUUGAACUCUCUGAAUUUGUCACACAAUAAACUUUCAGGGCCAAUACCAUCAGGAAAUCAGCUUCAGACCUUGACCGAUCCAUCCAUCUAUGAAGGAAACAGUGGACUCUGUGGCAAACCGCUCCCAAACAGCUGCUGGAAACACAAAUUGCCUACCAAAAAUGGGCCUAUUGAUGAUGAUGAAGGCCACAGCGAAUCUGAUUGGUCUUGGUUUUAUGCUGGAAUAGGACCGGGUUUUGCUGUCGGGCUCUUGGGAGUUCUGGGAAUCCUUCUCUUCAAGAAGUCAUGGCGCUAUGCAUACUUCAAGUUUGUAGAAAGUGCCUGUGACAAAAUCUGGGUAAAGACUACUCGCCUGAGGAGGAAGUUCCGUUGAGCCCACAAUCAUUCGAGUGCUUGCAGCUGCUGUUGUUUGGCUCUCAGAAUGAGCAAUCUCUUCAAGGUGAUUUGAGAAGUAGUUUCACUGUAUUUCUUCUGCGGAUGUAAUAUGAAAAUUAGACCUCCUUUUAUUUGCUA